rnacentral:ncRNA from 1 species
AAAAUCCUACAUAUAAUAUUAUAAGACCCAUUAAAGUAGACAUAAACAACAUUAAUAUAUAUAUAUCAUCAAGUCUGGUAAUUGGAAUGAGUACAAUCUAAAUCCCUUAACGAGGAUCCAUUGGAGGGCAAUUUGGUGCCAUUUAUCGCGGUAAUUCCAUCUCUAAUAGUGUAUAUUUAAGUUGUUGCGGUUAAAAAGCUUGUAGUUAGAUCUUGGGUCAUACAGGUCGGUCCGCCUACUCGGUGUGCACCUACCCUUUCGUCCCUUUUGUCGACGAUGUGCUCUUGGCCUUAAUUGACUGGGUCACAGUUUCGGCGUUGUUACUUUGAAAAAAUUAGAGUGCUCAAAGCCAACUUAUGCUUUGAAUACAUUAGCAUGGAAU